rnacentral:rRNA from 1 species
UGGGGAAUAUUGCACAAUGGGGGAAACCCUGAUGCAGCGACGCCGCGUGAACGAAGAAGGUAUUCGUAUCGUAUAGUUCUGUCCUAUGGGAAGAUAAUGACAGUACCAUAGAAGAAAGCUCCGGCUAAAUACGUGCCAGCAGCCGCGGUAAUACGUAUGGAGCGAGCGUUGUCCGGAAUUAUUGGGCGUAAAGGGUACGCAGGCGGUUUAAUAAGUCGAAUGUUAAAGAUCGGGGCUCAACCCCGCAAAGCAUUGGAAACUGAUAAACUUGAGUAGUGGAGAGGAAAGUGGAAUUCCUAGUGUAGUGGUGAAAUACGUAGAUAUUAGGAGGAAUACCAGUAGCGAAGGCGAGUUUCUGGACACAAACUGACGCUGAGGUACGAAAGCGUGGGGAGCAAACAGG